UAUAGCUGCUGUUCGCUUGGCUCACAGCCUUAAUACGCGAUGUGGGACUUGGUUUUAGACUUUGCCCAAAGCCUUUCAUUCACAGUACUGUAGAAAGUGAUAUGAACUCUAAACAAAAAGUAUGUAUGCAUUCUGAUAAAAGAAGAAGAAGUAUGUAUGCUUCUGCUGCAAUUUUCAUCUCUCUUCUUCCUUGUUGCUGUUUGAGCUCUUCUGAGUUAUGGAUGCAUCCAAGAAGCUGUAAAUGUCCAGGGCAAAUUUCUCUACAAAGUUGUUUUAACAAUCUUCAUUAUCAUCAAUGUUAUCAUCAACAAUUUCAGAGAAUGAACAUACAAGGCAAAAUUAUUGAUUCGUGCGGUUUUGCCUCCAAGAGCUGAAGAGGCAACAUAUGGGUUAGCUUGAGGUGGAGGAAGUCGAGGUCAAUAUAAAGUAAGAGAUGGAUACAGAAGCAUUAAAGGGGACAAAUUGAGUUUGAAGGAUUUCAAGUGGAAAAUUAUUCGAAAAUGGAGAGGGCUUGAAAGAAUUCGAGUAUUUCUACGGUAGUUGAUACAGUAUAGAUUACAUACAAAUGAGAUUCGAGAUCGGGUGCAAGUGGUAAUUGUGGAGUGUGUAGAGACUUGGAAUUAGUUAUGCAUGUCAUGCGGGAUUGUAAAGUAGUAAGGAAUCUAUAGGGAAGUUUUAGUAUGAUGUUGCCAAACAGAUUCUACACAGCAGACAGGGAAGAUUGGUUGAUAAUGAAUUUUAAAUCUAAGCAAGUGAUUAGAAGCAUAACUUGUCCCAUAAUUUUUGGGGUUGUGUGUUGGUCCAUCUGGAAGCAAUGAAAUUUGAGGGUGUUUAGAGGAGCUCACUCAAUGGUCCAAGUGAGGCAAAUUUGGGCUUUUGCGGAAGAGAUCUGGAAGAUAAAAGCUCUGGCAUUUCGUCUUAUGGGUAAGGAAAAAGAAAAUUUGGAGAGUAAGUGGUGUAGGCCUAUUGAGGGAUGGGUAAAACUCAAUACGAAUGAGGUUAGUAGAGGUAAUUCAGGGAGGGCAAGUUGUGAUGGUGCACUAAGGAAUCAUGAAGGAGAGUGGGUGUGGGGUUUCACGAUGGAUGUUGGGUGGUGCUCGGCUCUGGUGGCUGAAGGAUAGGGUUUGUAUAAGGGAUUACUUUUAGCUUGGGAGUAUGGAUUUCGAAAAGUGCAAGCGGAGGUUGACUCACUAGAACUAGUGAAUCAUUUGAAAGAGAAGAUGAAAGCCGAUACCUCAGUUGAUAGACAUAUGGUAGAGAUUGAAAGAUUAUUGAGUAGAAGUUGGGAGGUGCGCUUGAGUCAUACCUCUCGAGUUGUAAAUCUCUGUACGGAUCUUCUCGUAAGGGGAAGUUUGGAUUUGCAAAUCUCAUAUUGUGUAUGGAAUAAGGUGCCUUCGUGGGUCGAAGAGACAGUGUGGCUGGAGAAGGAAAGGUUGAAGACUGCGUUUGAUCCUAGUUGAGUUCGCUUAUGUGUUUGAUCCUCUGUUUUGUUCUAUUCCUAUUUCAAAUUUUUGCUUUUGUUUUGGGCUUGACUUUGUCUAGCCUUGCGUGAGCUGUAAGCCUUGGGCCUCUUUUUCUUACCAA